CCUAUCAAACCCUAUCAAACCCUAUCAAAAACCUGCCAAACCCAAUCAAAUCCUAUCAAACUCUAUCAAACCCUAUCAAAAGCUAUCAAACCCCAUCAAACUCCAUCAAAAACCUACCAAACCCUAUCAAACCCUAUCACACCUUAUCAAACACUAUCAAAACCCUAUCAAAUCCUAUCAAACUGUAUCACACCCUAUCAAACGCUAUCAUAACCCUAUCAAACCCUAUCAAACCUUAUCAAGCGCUAUCUAACCCUAUCAAAAUCCCAUCACACUCUAUCAAACCCUAUCAGAAACCCCAUCACACCCUAUCAAACGCUAUCAAACCCCUAUCAAACGCUCCCCCCACUCUUUCCCAGUCUCGCUGACGCUGGACGAGAGCUGCACCCACCCGGCCCUGCUGAUCCGGGGCCGAUCCUGGAUCUGCCCCAAUCCCGGAUCCCGAAUCCCCGGAUCCCAAAUCCCCGGCCCCGAUCCCGGAUCCCAAAUCCCUGGAUCCCAAAUCCCUGGCUCCGAUCCCGGAUCCCGGCCCCGCCUCGGGGCCCUGGCCGUGACUCGGGAGGGAUUUUCCCACGGGAAGCAUUACUGGGAAGUGGAGCUGGGAGACGGCAGCGAUUGGGAGCUGGGCGUGCUCCCGCAGGAGGUCCGGGAUUCCAUCCGGGAUUCCAUCCGGGAUUCCAUCCGGGAUUCCCUGAGGGAUUCCCUGAGGGAUUCCCUGCAGGAUCCCACCCCAGAUUCCACCCUGGAUUCCAUCCCGGAUUCCCUGCAGGAUGAUUCCCUGAGGGAUGAUUCCCUGCGAGAUUCCAUUCGGGAUCCCAUCCCGGGUUCUCUGCAGGAUCCCCUGCGGAAUUCCACCCCAAAUCCCAUCCCGGAUCCCAUCCCGAAUUCCCUGCGGGAUCCCAUCCCAGAUUCCAUCCUGGAUCCCAUCCUGGAUUCCAUCCUGGAUCCCAUCCCGAAUUCCAUCCCUGAUUCCCUGCAAGAUUCCAUUCAGGAUCCCAUCCCAAAUUCCAUCCUGAAUCCCAUCCCGGACCCCAUCUUGGAUCCUACCCCGAAUUCCCACCGGUACCAUCCCAUCCCCUCCAUCCCAAAUCCCACCCUGAAUUCCCACCAGGAUCACCCCAUCCCCUCCAUCCCGGACCCCACCCCGAAUUCCCACCGCUACCACCCCCUCCCCUCCAUCCCGGACCCCACCCCAGGUUCCCACCGCUGCCCGUCCCUGGCGCGCUCCCGGGGCGAGCUCCGGCUCCGGGGCGCGCUCCUGCAGCGCAGCCCGGGGCGCUGCCGCGUGCUCGGGGUGCUGCUGGAUCUCGAGCGGCGCCGCCUCCGCUUCUUCGACGCCGAGGAGCGGCGGCUGCUGGGAUCGGCGGCCCUGGAAAGCCCAAACGGGAAUCUGUUCCCGUUCUUCAGGCCGGGAGCGGGCGGGAGCGGGCUGGGGAUCCGCCCCGUCAGGGCUUGAAACAGGGCUGGGGGAUAUUCGGGUGUGAAACUUAAAUUUUCAGGUCUUUAUUGUAAUUAUUCUCAUUUUAAAAUUCUGAUUGUCCCCUAGAAUAAACGCUUGUAAAUAUUCA
rnacentral:lncRNA from 1 species